GACGAACGCUGGCGGCGCGCCUAACACAUGCAAGUCGAGCGGAGAUACUUGAAGGAAGUUUUCGGAUGGAAUUUGAGUAUUUUAGCGGCGGACGGGUGAGUAACGCGUGAGUGACCUGCCUUCCACAGGGGGAUAACGUACCGAAAGGUACACUAAUACCGCAUGAGACCACAGCACUGCCUGGUGCAGGGGUCAAAGGAGCAAUCCGGUGGAAGAUGGACUCGCGUCCGAUUAGAUAGUUGGUGGGGUAACGGCCUACCAAGUCAGCGAUCGGUAGCCGACCUGAGAGGGGGAUGGGCCACAUUGGAACUGAGAGACGGUCCAAACGCCUACGGGAGGCAGCAGUGGGGAAUAUUGGGCAAUGGGGGAAACCCUGACCCAGCGACGCCGCGUGAGGGAAGAAGGUUUUCGGAUUGUAAACCUCUGUUCUUGGUGAAGAGGGAAAGACGGUAGCCAAGGAGGAAGCCCCGGCUAACUACGUGCCAGCAGCCGCGGUAA
rnacentral:rRNA from 1 species